rnacentral:rRNA from 1 species
CAGUAGCCGCGGGAAUACGUAGGUGGCAAGCGUUGUCCGGAAUUAUUGGGCGUAAAGGGCUCGCAGGCGGUUUCUUAAGUCUGAUGUGAAAGCCCCCGGCUCAACCGGGGAGGGUCAUUGGAAACUGGGAAACUUGAGUGCAGAAGAGGAGAGUGGAAUUCCACGUGUAGCGGUGAAAUGCGUAGAGAUGUGGAGGAACACCAGUGGCGAAGGCGACUCUCUGGUCUGUAACUGACGCUAAGGAGCGAAAGCGUGGGGAGCGAGCAGGAUUAGAUACCCGAGUAGUCCCUGUCUCUUAUAA